GGGUGCAAUCAUACCAACGUUAAUGCAUUGAAUCCCAUCGGAACACCGUAGUUAUGCAGUCUUUAGCUAGAGUAGUACUGGGAUGGGUGACCUCCCAGGAAGUCCUAGUGUUGCACCCU
rfam:Picea glauca, whole genome shotgun sequence.